GGGCCAGACUCCUACGGGAGGCAGCAGUGAGGAAUAUUGGUCAAUGGGCGAGAGCCUGAACCAGCCAAGUCGCGUGAGGGAUGACGGCCCUACGGGUUGUAAACUUCUUUUGUCAGGGAGCAAUUGAGUCCACGUGUGGGCUUAGCGAGAGUACCUGAAGAAAAAGCAUCGGCUAACUCCGUGCCAGCAGCCGCGGUAAUACGGAGGAUGCGAGCGUUAUCCGGAUUUAUUGGGUUUAAAGGGUGCGUAGGCGGAAUAUCAAGUCAGCGGUAAAAAGUCGGGGCUCAACCCCGUCGUGCCGUUGAAACUGGCAGUCUCGAGUUGGAGAGAAGUAUGCGGAAUGCGCGGUGUAGCGGUGAAAUGCAUAGAUAUCGCGCAGAACCCCGAUUGCGAAGGCAGCGUGCCGUGCCGCCACUGACGCUGAGGCACGAAAGCGCGGGGAUCGAACAGGAUUAGAUACCCCUGUA
rnacentral:rRNA from 1 species